UGAGUACGAGACGCUAAGGCGUUGAAGCAGUCUAUGUCAGACUUCCAAGAAAAGCUCGCAAUGUCAUAAACAAAAGAUGCCUGUACCAUAACCGACACAGGUGGGUAGGUAGAGUAUACUAAGGGGCGCGAGAUAACUCUCUCUAAGGAACUCGGCAAAAUGACUCCGUAACUUCGGGAGAAGGAGUGCCUUAUUUUUAUAAGGUUGCAAUAACAAGAUCCAAGCAACUGUUUACCAAAAACACAGGUCUCCGCUAAGUCGUAAGACGAUGUAUGGGGGCUGACGCCUGCCCAGUGCCAGAAGGUUAAAGAAGUUGGUUAGUUUCGGCGAAGCUGAUGACUGAAGCCCUGGUGAACGGCGGCCGUAACAAUAACGGUCCUAAGGUAGCGAAAUUCCUUGUCGGGUAAGCUCCGACCCGCACGAAAGGCGUAAUGAUUUGGAUACUGUCUCGGAGAGGGGCUCGGUGAAAUAGACUUGUCUGUGAAGAUGCGGACUACCUGCACCUGGACAGAAAGACCCUAUGAAGCUUUACUGUAACUUGAGAUUGAAAUUGGACUUUAUUUGCGCAGUAUAGGUGGGAGACGUUGAGAAUAUUCUUGCGGGAAUAUUGGAGUCAUCAGUGAGAUACCACUCUUGUAAUGUUAGAUUUCUAACUUUGUAUCAUGAUCUGGUCAAAGGACAGUUUCAGGCGGGCAGUUUGACUGGGGCGGUCGCCUCCCAAACGGUAACGGAGGCGCACAAAGGUUUCCUCUGAACGUGUAGAAAUCGUAUCUAGAGUGUAAAGGCAUAAGGAAGCUUGACUGUGAGACCUACAAGUCGAGCAGGGACGAAAGUCGGUCUUAGUGAUCUGACGGUGCUGAGUGGAAAGGCCGUCACUCAACGGAUAAAAGUUACUCUAAGGAUAACAGGCUGAUCUCCCCCAAGAGUUCACAUCGACGGGGAGGUUUGGCACCUGAUGUCGGCUCAUCGCAUCCUGGGGCGGUAGUACGUCCCAAGGGUUGGGCUGUUCGCCCAGGAAAGCGGUACGCGAGCUGGGUUCAGAACGUCGUGAGACAGUUCGGUCCAUAUCCGGUGUAGGCGUUAGAAUAUUGAGAGGAGCCUUCUUUAGUACGAGAGGACCGAGAAGGACAUACCUCUGGUGUACCAGUUAUCGUGCCAACGGUAAACGCUGGGUAGCUAUGUAUGGAGUGGAUAACCGCUGAAAGCAUCUAAGUGGGAAGCCCACCUCAAGAUAAGUAUUCUC
rnacentral:rRNA from 1 species